rnacentral:tRNA from 1 species
GGAGAGGGUAUAGCUCAGUGGUAGAGUGUGUGCCUAGUAUGCACAAGGUUCUGGGUUCAAUCCCCAGUACCUCCA